GUUUUUUCUUUCUUCU
rnacentral:sRNA from 1 species